rnacentral:rRNA from 1 species
CCGUAAACGAUGUCUACUUGGAGGUUGUGCCCUUGAGGCGUGGCUUCCGGAGCUAACGCGUUAAGUAGACCGCCUGGGGAGUACGGCCGCAAGGUUAAAACUCAAAUGAAUUGACGGGGGCCCGCACAAGCGGUGGAGCAUGUGGUUUAAUUCGAUGCAACGCGAAGAACCUUACCUGGUCUUGACAUCCACAGAAGAAUCCAGAGAUGGAUUUGUGCCUUCGGGAACUGUGAGACAGGUGCUGCAUGGCUGUCGUCAGCUCGUGUUGUGAAAUGUUGGGUUAAGUCCCGCAACGAGCGCAACCCUUAUCCUUUGUUGCCAGCGGUUAGGCCGGGAACUCAAAGGAGACUGCCAGUGAUAAACUGGAGGAAGGUGGGGAUGACGUCAAGUCAUCAUGGCCCUUACGACCAGGGCUACACACGUGCUACAAUGGCGCAUACAAAGAGAAGCGACCUCGCGAGAGCAAGCGGACCUCAUAAAGUGCGUCGUAGUCCGGAUUGGAGUCUGCAACUCGACUCCAUGAAGUCGGAAUCGCUAGUAAUCGUGGAUCAGAAUGCCACGGUGAAUACGUUCCCGGGCCUUGUACACACCGCCCGUCACACCAUGGGAGUGGGUUGCAAAAGAAGUAGGUAGCUUAACCUUCGGGAGGGCGCUUACCACUUUGUGAUUCAUGACUGGGGUGAAGUCGUAACAAGGUAACCGUAGGGGAACCUGCGGUUGGA